rnacentral:rRNA from 1 species
GACGAACGCUGGCGGCGUGCUUAACACAUGCAAGUCGAACGGAAAGGCCCUGCUUUUGUGGGGUGCUCGAGUGGCGAACGGGUGAGUAACACGUGAGUAACCUGCCCUUGACUUUGGGAUAACUUCUGGAAACUGGGGCUAAUACCGGAUAGGAGCUCCUGCUGCAUGGUGGGCGUUGGAAAGUUUCGGCGGUUGGGGAUGGAAUGGCGGCUUAUCAGCUUGUUGGUGGGGUAGUGGCUUACCAAGGCUUUGACGGGUAGCCGGCCUGAGAGGGUGACCGGGCACAAUGGGACUGAGAGACGGCCCAGAAGGCUACGGGAGGCAGCAGUGGAGAGUAUUGCGGAGUGGGCGGGAGCCUGAGACAACGGCGCCGCGAGCGUAAUGACCGGCUUUGAGUUAUGAACAGAUGUCGAAGGAGACAAGGCGGGAGUGACGGUAAUGAGUAAAAAAGCACCGGCUAACUACGUG